GACGAACGCUGGCGGCGUGCUUAACACAUGCAAGUCGAACGUGAUUUUUGUGGCAAUUCUUUCGGGAAUGGAAAUGAAAUGAAAGUGGCGAACGGGUGAGUAACACGUGAGCAACCUACCUUACACAGGGGGAUAGCCGUUGGAAACGACGAUUAAUACCGCAUGAGACCACAGAAUCGCAUGAUAUAGGGGUCAAAGAUUUAUCGGUGUAAGAAGGGCUCGCGUCUGAUUAGCUAGUUGGAAGGGUAAAGGCCUACCAAGGCGACGAUCAGUAGCCGGUCUGAGAGGAUGAACGGCCACAUUGGAACUGAGACACGGUCCAAACUCCUACGGGAGGCAGCAGUGGGGAAUAGUGCACAAUGGGGGGAACCCUGAUGCAGCGACGCCGCGUGAGCGAAGAAGGUUUUCGAAUCGUAAAGCUCUGUCCUAUGAGGAGAUAAUGACGGUAGCAUAGGAGGAAGCCCCGGCUAAAUACGUG
rnacentral:rRNA from 1 species